UACGUAGGGUGCGAGCGUUAAUCGGAAUUACUGGGCGUAAAGCGUGCGCAGGCGGUCGUUCAAGUCGAGUGUGAAAGCCCCCGGCUCAACUGGGGAGGGUCACUCGAUACUGAUCGACUUGAGUCCGGUAGGGGAGUGUGGAAUUCCCGGUGUAGCGGUGAAAUGCGCAGAUAUCGGGAGGAACACCCGUAGCGAAGGCGGCACUCUGGGCCGUGACUGACGCUGAGGAGCGAAAGCGUGGGGAGCAAACAGG
rnacentral:rRNA from 1 species